rnacentral:rRNA from 1 species
CUGGCGGCGUGCCUAAUACAUGCAAGUAGAACGCUGAAGAGAGGAGCUUGCUCUUCUUGGAUGAGUUGCGAACGGGUGAGUAACGCGUAGGUAACCUGCCUUGUAGCGGGGGAUAACUAUUGGAAACGAUAGCUAAUACCGCAUAACAAUGGAUGACACAUGUCAUUUAUUUGAAAGGGGCAAAUGCUCCACUACAAGAUGGACCUGCGUUGUAUUAGCUAGUAGGUGAGGUAACGGCUCACCUAGGCGACGAUACAUAGCCGACCUGAGAGGGUGAUCGGCCACACUGGGACUGAGACACGGCCCAGACUCCUACGGGAGGCAGCAGUAGGGAAUCUUCGGCAAUGGGGGCAACCCUGACCGAGCAACGCCGCGUGAGUGAAGAAGGUUUUCGGAUCGUAAAGCUCUGUUGUAAGUCAAGAACGAGUGUGAGAGUGGAAAGUUCACACUGUGACGGUAGCUUACCAGAAAGGGACGGCUAACUACGUGCCAGCAGCCGCGGUAAUACGUAGGUCCCGAGCGUUGUCCGGAUUUAUUGGGCGUAAAGCGAGCGCAGGCGGUUUGAUAAGUCUGAAGUUAAAGGCUGUGGCUCAACCAUAGUUCGCUUUGGAAACUGUCAAACUUGAGUGCAGAAGGGGAGAGUGGAAUUCCAUGUGUAGCGGUGAAAUGCGUAGAUAUAUGGAGGAACACCGGUGGCGAAAGCGGCUCUCUGGUCUGUAACUGACGCUGAGGCUCGAAAGCGUGGGGAGCGAACAGGAUUAGAUACCCUGGUAGUCCACGCCGUAAACGAUGAGUGCUAGGUGUUGGAUCCUUUCCGGGAUUCAGUGCCGCAGCUAACGCAUUAAGCACUCCGCCUGGGGAGUACGACCGCAAGGUUGAAACUCAAAGGAAUUGACGGGGGCCCGCACAAGCGGUGGAGCAUGUGGUUUAAUUCGAAGCAACGCGAAGAACCUUACCAGGUCUUGACAUCCCGAUGCUAUUUCUAGAGAUAGAAAGUUACUUCGGUACAUCGGUGACAGGUGGUGCAUGGUUGUCGUCAGCUCGUGUCGUGAGAUGUUGGGUUAAGUCCCGCAACGAGCGCAACCCCUAUUGUUAGUUGCCAUCAUUCAGUUGGGCACUCUAGCGAGACUGCCGGUAAUAAACCGGAGGAAGGUGGGGAUGACGUCAAAUCAUCAUGCCCCUUAUGACCUGGGCUACACACGUGCUACAAUGGUUGGUACAACGAGUUGCGAGUCGGUGACGGCAAGCUAAUCUCUUAAAGCCAAUCUCAGUUCGGAUUGUAGGCUGCAACUCGCCUACAUGAAGUCGGAAUCGCUAGUAAUCGCGGAUCAGCACGCCGCGGUGAAUACGUUCCCGGGCCUUGUACACACCGCCCGUCACACCACGAGAGUUUGUAACACCCGAAGUCGAUGAGGUAACCUUUUGGAGCCAGCCGCCUAAGGUGGGAU